rnacentral:rRNA from 1 species
UACGGAGGGCGCGAGCGUUAAUCGGAAUUACUGGGCGUAAAGCGCGCGUAGGCUGUUGUGUAAGUUGGGGGUGAAAUCCCGAGGCUCAACUUCGGAAUUGCCUCUGAUACUGUUCGGCUAGAGAGUAGUUGCGGUAGGCGGAAUGUAUGGUGUAGCGGUGAAAUGCUUAGAGAUCAUACAGAACACCGAUUGCGAAGGCAGCUUACCAAGCUACUUCUGACGUUGAGGCACGAAAGCGUGGGGAGCAAACGGG